rnacentral:rRNA from 1 species
GAUGAACGCUGGCGGCGUGCCUAACACAUGCAAGUCGAACGGAGGUUACGGACGGAAGUUCUCGGAUGGAAGGCUGUAAUUCUUAGGGGCGGACGGGUAAGUGACGCUUCGGCAACCUGCGCUAUAAAGGGGGGUAGCUGAUGGAAACGGCUGAUACGACCGCAUAAGUAGGUUAAAGCGCAUGAUGUGAUUGGGCGAUGGGCAAUCAGGUAUAGGAGGGGCCGGGGUCCGAUUAGCAAGGUGGAAGGGUUAAAGCCUACCAAAGCGACGAUCGAUAAACGGGCUGAGAGGUCGGGCGGCCACAUUUGGACUGAGACACGGCCCAGACUCCUACGGGAAGCAGCAGUGGGGGAUAUUGCAAAAUGGAGGAAACUCUGAUGCAGCUACGCCGGGUGAGUGAAGAAGUAUUUCGGUAUGUAAAGCUCUAUCAUCAGGGAAGAUUAUGACGGUACCUGACUAAGAAGCCCCGGCUAACUACGUG